CAUAAGUGGAAACAUGCACUAUUGUGGGUUAUAAUUGUAAACCUGACUUGGCUAAUGCUGACAAACUUGAGCAAUUAUAAGUUAUCCCUGCUGCCACCAAGAUUGAAAGAUGAGCAAAUAUAUUUUCAAUGUGAUCCUUUUAGUUGGUAUCGCCUCUCAACGCUGGAUAUGUGCAUCCAUUGUGGAUAUGAUUGUCCAACACGAACAAAAUGUUACUUUGUCCUGUAAUGUAAAUGCCAGCUCUACAUUGGAAUGGUUUCAGUUGAGAUCAGAAAAGAUGACUUUACUAAUAUUUGCACAAAGAGGAAAAAUUAAACAAAAAAAGUUUAUUAUUGAACAUAAUGAGGAUGCAAGCCACUAUCAGCUAAAAGAAGACAAUAUAACUAAGUUUGUAAGUCUAGCAAUAGUUAGGGUUGGAGAGCCUGACACUGGCUUUUAUUACUGUUCUACGCGAAUCAAUGGAAAUGGAAUGCAUUUUGGGACUCCUGUCAGACUCACAUUAACAGAUGCUAAACUGAGGGGCUUUUCCAAUGCAGCAGACUGCAGCACGCGUUUGAUCUGUGCUUACUCUGCAUGUGGGUUGUGUGGUAUUAUUUGUGUUUGUGUGCUUUGUUAUAAGCAAGGUGAGAAACCGUAAAUUCUUUCCUUAAUCCUUUUAAUCAUUUUAAAUGUCGUUGUUGUGUUGUGCCUACAUACCUUAGCAAUUUUAUUACUAAUACUUCCACUUGCUCACUCAGAUAAGCAAACUACAAUUCGCUGAUGCCAAAAUAGGUCAAACUGAUAAGUUCUUCUGGACACUCUUGCAUCAGCUGUGUGAAAG